rnacentral:lncRNA from 1 species
ACCAUGGUCCUAAAAGCAGCAUCAAUCAUGGGAUGUUCCAGGACCCAUUCACCUUUGCCAUCAUUUCGCUAUCAUAGGGCCCGCCCCACCUUGGAGUUGGGUUGUUGCUUUGCCACAUUGCUCAUUACUGCAGCAAAACACAACAGGGUCAAGUGGCUGGAAUGAGUAUAUAUAGGAGCACAACAACAAUGUAGGCUACAACAGGUCUAGACACAACUUAAAGCAAGCAGCAAAUAGGGAAACAUGGUCCUAUGACAAAGAACCACAAAAAUAUAGUAGUAGUAACAAACAUGAACAGGCUAAUGGACAUGUGAACUGUGUGACAGUGUAAGAGCAGACUAUGGUUUGAAUUAUACCAAAUUAUCACCACUUACAAAAAAAGCAAAGAGGACUGAGCAGGAUUUUGAGGACGCCUAUUCACAUGUAAUCCUCGUAAUCCAGGUAAUAUUUGGGGAUACCCAGAGCAUGUAUAUCACAGAGAGCACCAAGUGUUUUAGAAUAAAGUGUUGGCGGCAGUUACUAGUACCAUUUUUUGCAGUCAGGAACAGUGGCCCCUUCUUCCCCUUCCUGACUGAUAUCAGCACCAUGGUCAAGGAGGUAUGUGGGGGCCGACAAGUUUCCUCCGUCCACAAAAUGCUCCACAUGCAUCUUCUUGCCUGGCACACAGUUAGGCAAGAUGAUGUUGAUCAGCAUAAUGAAUGGCUCAAUGUAGGCAUCCCAAUCGACUUGGCACAACCAGAUGGCCAUGGGCACACAUGCAUGAGAGAGCAAAGAAGAGACUUAACGCAUGCGGCGGAGUUGAAGAAGAAUCAACCACCGGAAGAGCAGGGCAGGAGGCGAAUCUUGUGCACCUGCACGAGGAAACCAAACCACGUAAAUCAGAC